ACAGCUUUUCCACUUUGACGUGCAUGAGGAUGUACGAACAAUUGCUGAUGCAACAAUAGAAAAGGAUGAGUCCCAUGCUGGGAAAGUUGUGGAGAGGCACUGGUACGAAAAGAACAAGCAUAUCUUCCCUGCUUCUAGAUGGGAGAUAUAUGACCCAACGAAGAAAUGGGAGCGUUAUACCAUCCACGGGGAUUAAUUAGUGAUAGACAAACAUAUAGUUUUGUAUAAUUUUGAUUUGUAUGCUCAUGUUAUUAGAUUUGGGACCAAGUAUGAAGGUAACUAUUGUCUUUCCUACAAUUAUUUAUAACAAAAUCAUGGAAUGAUGCAAUGGAAAUAUGAUGAUGGAAAGUUUAUGGAAUUAUAUAAUAAUGGACUGACUCUUGAAUCGUA